GGUUUGUUAUGAAACAGAGGCCUUUGGCCUCAAAUUAGCAUCGUGCAAUAUUUGGAACAUCUACUGUUGUACACAAAGAAACUUCUGUUUGGGAACACACUAAGAUUUUGCAAGCCAAGGAGUUUCCUUGUUGCACAAAACUUGUAACAGUGUAAUGAAUAAUCAACAAUUUUCAACAUGCUAGAGAUAGGGAUCUGCUGUGCCCCUGAAUACAUAACCUAGGCAUCAUCAUGCACAAACAGAAUAAAUAUGAGAGAUAACACAAUCCAUAGUUUCUGGUCUUGACUAAACAUGCAAAAAGUGUUUUAAUACUGUAUACAAACUGGAUUCUCCAUGUCUUGUUAGUCUCUGUAGAAAGACUUAUCCCCACCUUGAUCUUCUAUUCAUUUUUUCCGUUGUGAGAAAGGGAAAACAAACCUGCUCGUAAGCCAAAAUCCUUUCCUGUUUACUCCUCUGUAAUGUAAUGGAAAAGUCAAGCAACUAAAUGAGAACCAAUCUGAGGACCUUUUCAUGCCACUUUCCCAGGUCUUACUGAAAAUCUGCUGGCAUUACUGUUUUCUGUAGAAAUGCUUUGCCAUCUUGCUGAUGCACCAUUCUUACUUUAUAGCAUUAAGGUAUACCUUCUAGAAGAAAUUUCCUUCAGAAAAUCAGGAUCCUGUACCACUUCUCAGGAGAGAGAAUGUCAGGAUGGAAGAAGGACCACUUCCUCACUCCCAUUGAAGAGGAACCUACAGUUAUUCUUUUCCUCUGUCUGCUGCUCAUCAUCCUUGCUCUGCCAGCAGCAGAAUCACACAGUGCCAGCUGCAGUAACUAGAGGACAGUGACUUGAAAACAGCAUAAACAUUCAACCACCAGCAAACAUUAAAUGCCUGGUUGGUAUAUCUCAGCAUGGCUGUGGGCUGUAAAGCAACAGUCCUGUGUGAUUGAUAUAUCCAGCACAUACCACACAAUCCUUUUGAACAUCUGUAAAAGAAGAGCAGACAGGAGUGACACAAUUUUACGGAGACCUCUGGAUAACUGCCUCCCUGAAUAAUUGCCAGAUGGACAAGGAACUGGCAGGAACACUCUCCACAGAGAACCCUGCUUGCUUUCUCCAGAGCCAGUGCAUAUCUGAAUAAUCAUUUCUGGGUGCAGUAAUGGCAUCCAGCCUGACACAUUCUCUCCCUCCUUUUCAUUUCUGCUCAUUCCACCCUGGCCCACCAGUCAUAAUGUCCGUAUGCUUCCAUUUAUGAUGGCCAGCAGUGAUGGCAGUGCUGUUCCUCUUCCUAAAUCCAGCAGGUGGACCUGCCAAGGACCUCACAGCUGUUGGAGGAAAUAAAACUCAGCAGCAACAUCCAUGCCUUGCUCAUCAUAUGACCCCUUUAUGCCAAGCUUGCCAAUUUUCUGGCACCAUGGUGGAAGUGAAUCAAACAGCUAUUAGCUGUGGCAAUGUCAGGGAGUCUACAGAUCUUAAGAAUAGUUCUGGGAUCCUUUAUGUCCAAACAGUCAGGUCUCUACCGUCACCACCACCAGCAGCCUUUUCUUUAGAAAAGUCUGCAUGUCUUUUUACUAAGGCUUUUAAAUCUCUGUUAUUCCCUCGAGCAAUGUAGUUGGCACAACGCUAUUUAUUGCUUGUGUGACAGUCACAGUCCCUGAGAACAGUGUUACCAAAGCCUUUUAAUCCUGGUGUCCAAAGCUAUCAUCUAAAUUAAACAUCUUUAAAAACCAUAUGAUCUGGACAUCAGUAGUAGGCAUUUGCCUAUCUAAUGACAAAGUGUUUUGAACAUGCUGUUCUUUCAACGUCUUCUGUGCAUAAAUAAGUAGAAGUCCAGGAGUCAUAAAAAAGUUCCCCAUGUGAUUUCUGGAAAGAGAAAAUUGCACUGGAGAUUUCUGAGGAAAGUAACAUUUCAGUUCUAGUCUUUGAUUGGCAUUAAAAUCAAUCCUCUUAUCUUUGUAAUUCACGAAAAGCUGGCUCCAAAAGAAAUAUAAAGAAAUAAAAUAUAUUUUUGCAAAACAAA